UCAAGUCUUUAAGAGCAAACGGUGGAUGCCUUGGCAUCUGGAGCCGAAGAAGGACGUAGCAAUCUGCGAUAAGCCUCGGGGAGUGGAUAAGCACACUGUGAUCCGAGGGUCUCCGAAUGGGGAAACCCCGCCAGGCGUUUGUGCGACCUGGUGACUCCCGCCUGAAUAUAUAGGGCGGGUAGAGGGAACGUGGGGAAGUGAAACAUCUCAGUACCCACAGGAAGAGAAAACAACAGUGAUUCCGUGAGUAGUGGCGAGCGAAAGCGGAUGAGGCUAAACCGGGUGUGUGUGAUAGCCGGCAGGCGUUGCAUGCCCGGGGUUGUGGGACUUUUCUGGACAUUCUGCCGAGUGUUCGACGUGAUGUGACGGUAUAGACGAAUGGUCUUGAAAGGCCAGCCAUAGUGGGUGCCAGCCCCGUAGUCGAAAUGCCGCUCGCAGCGUGAAGAGUAUCCCAAGUAGCACGGGGCCCGAGAAAUCCCGUGUGAAUCUGUCAGGACCACCUGAUAAGCCUAAAUACUCCCAGAUGACCGAUAGCGGACAAGUACCGUGAGGGAAAGGUGAAAAGUACCCCGGGAGGGGAGUGAAAUAGUACCUGAAACCGUUUGCUUACAAACCGUUGGAGCCUCCUUAGUAGGGGUGACAGCGUGCCUUUUGAAGAAUGAGCCUGCGAGUUAGUGAUAUGUGGCGAGGUUAACCCGUGUGGGGUAGCCGUAGCGAAAGCGAGUCUGAAUAGGGCGAUUCAGUCGCAUGUCCUAGACCCGAAGCGAAGUGAUCUAUCCAUGGCCAGGUUGAAGCGCGUGUAAGAACGCGUGGAGGACCGAACCCACUUAGGUUGAAAACUGAGGGGAUGAGCUGUGGAUAGGGGUGAAAGGCCAAUCAAACUUCGUGAUAGCUGGUUCUCUCCGAAAUGCAUUUAGGUGCAGCGUUGCGUGUUUCUUGCCGGAGGUAGAGCUACUGGAUGGCCGAUGGGCCUCACCAGGUUACUGACGUCAGCCAAACUCCGAAUGCCGGUAAGUGAGAGCGCAGCAGUGAGACUGUGGGGGAUAAGCUUCAUAGUCGAGAGGGAAACAACCCAGACCACCAUCUAAGGUCCCAAAGCGCGUGCUAAGUGGAAAAGGAUGUGGAGUUGCUUAGACAACCAGGAGGUUGGCUUAGAAGCAGCCACCCUUGAAAGAGUGCGUAAUAGCUCACUGGUCAAGUGAUUCCGCGCCGACAAUGUAACGGGGCUCAAGCACGCCACCGAAGUUGUGGCAUUGACAUUUUUGGUAGGCCUUCGUGGUCCAGCCGUGUUGAUGGGUAGGAGAGCGUCGUGUGGCGAGUGAAGCGGCGGUGUGAACCAGCCGUGGACGCCACACGAGUGAGAAUGCAGGCAUGAGUAGCGAAAGACGUGUGAGAAACACGUCCUCCGGAAGACCAAGGGUUCCAGGGUCAAGCUAAUCUUCCCUGGGUAAGUCGGGACCUAAGGCGAGGCCGACAGGCGUAGUCGAUGGACAACGGGUUGAUAUUCCCGUACCGGCGAAGAACCGCCCAAACCAAUCCAGUGAUGCUAAGUGUCCGAAGCCAUCCAUCGUCACCUUCGGGUGACACCGGGUGGUGGAGCACACGACCCUAUGCUGGUGCGGUUAGCGUAUUAACAGGUGUGACGCAGGAAGGUAGCCCAUGCCAGGCGAUGGUUGUCCUGGUGCAAGUGCGUAGGCCGAGUCGUAGGCAAAUCCGCGACUCAUACAGGCUGAGACACGAUGCGGAUGAAAAGUGGGUGAUCCUAUGCUGCCGAGAAAAGCAUCGACGCGAGGUUCAAGCCGCCCGUACCCCAAACCGACUCAGGUGGUCAGGUAGAGAAUACCAAGGAGAUCGAGAGAAUCGUGGUUAAGGAACUCGGCAAAAUGCCCCCGUAACUUCGGGAGAAGGGGGGCCAUCCACUUAUACCGUCUUGCACGGGAAAGGGUGUGGUGGCCGCAGAGACUAGUGGGUAGCGACUGUUUACUAAAAACACAGGUCCGUGCGAAGACGCAAGUCGAUGUAUACGGACUGACGCCUGCCCGGUGCUGGAAGGUUAAGAGGACCGGUUAGCCGCAAGGCGAAGCUGAGAAUUUAAGCCCCAGUAAACGGCGGUGGUAACUAUAACCAUCCUAAGGUAGCGAAAUUCCUUGUCGGGU
rnacentral:rRNA from 1 species